UACGAAGGGGGCUAGCGUUGUUCGGAAUCAUUGGGCGUAAAGCGCACGUAGGCGGCUUUCUAAGUCAGGUGUGAAAUCCUGGAGCUCAACUCCAGAACUGCCUUUGAUACUGGAGAGCUUGAGUCCGGAAGAGGUGAGUGGAACUCCGAGUGUAGAGGUGAAAUUCGUAGAUAUUCGCAAGAACACCAGUGGCGAAGGCGGCUCACUGGCCCGAUACUGACGCUGAGGCACGAAAGCGUGGGGAGCAAACAGG
rnacentral:rRNA from 1 species